CCUACGGGAGGCAGCAGUGGGGAAUAUUGCACAAUGGGGGAAACCCUGAUGCAGCGACGCCGCGUGAGUGAAGAAGCGUUUCGGCGCGUAAAGCUCUGUCAGCGGGGAAGAAACACGGUUCGCGAGAGCCGCGGACGGUACCCGACCAAGAAGCCCCGGCUAACUACGUGCCAGCAGCCGCGGUAAUACGUAGGGGGCAAGCGUUAUCCGGAUUCACUGGGUGUAAAGGGAGCGUAGACGGCGAGACAAGUCUGGAGUGAAAGGCCGGGGCCCAACCCCGGGACUGCUCUGGAAACUGGCGGGCGGGAGUACCGGAGGGGCAGGCGGAAUUCCUAGUGUAGCGGUGAAAUGCGUAGAUAUUAGGAGGAACACCAGUGGCGAAGGCGGCCUGCUGGACGGAGACUGACGCUGAGGCUCGAAAGCGUGGGGAGCAAACAGGAUUAGAUACCCUAGUAGUC
rnacentral:rRNA from 1 species